rnacentral:rRNA from 1 species
AGUGAACGCUGGCGGUAGGCCUAACACAUGCAAGUCGAACGGCAGCACAGUAAGAGCUUGCUCUUACGGGUGGCGAGUGGCGGACGGGUGAGGAAUACAUCGGAAUCUACUUUUUCGUGGGGGAUAACGUAGGGAAACUUACGCUAAUACCGCAUACGACCUACGGGUGAAAGCAGGGGAUCUUCGGACCUUGCGCGAUUGAAUGAGCCGAUGUCGGAUUAGCUAGUUGGCGGGGUAAAGGCCCACCAAGGCGACGAUCCGUAGCUGGUCUGAGGGGAUGGUCGGCCACACUGGAACUGAGACACGGUCCAGACUCCUACGGGAGGCAGCAGUGGGGAAUAUUGGACAAUGGGCGCAAGCCUGAUCCAGCCAUACCGCGGGGGUGAAGAAGGCCUUCGGGUUGUAAAGCCCUUUUGUUGGGAAAGAAAAGCAGCAGGUUAAGACCCCGCUGUUCGGACGGUACCCAAAGAAUAAGCACCGGCUAACUUCGU